UACGUAAGAGACUAGUGUUAAUCAUCAUAAAUAGGUUUAAAGGGUACUCAGACGGAAAAUAUUCGCCUAAAAAAGGGACAAUUUUUCUAGAGUUUUAUGUAAGAAGAUCGUACUCUAGAGUGUAGAGAUCAUAUUUGUUGAUACCGUAGGGGACUGGUAAAGGCGAAGGCAAUCUUUUAUGUAAAAACUGACGUCGAAGGACGAAGGCAAAGGGCA
rnacentral:rRNA from 1 species